rnacentral:rRNA from 1 species
UACAGAGGGUGCAAGCGUUGCUCGGAAUCAUUGGGCGUAAAGGGCAGGUAGGUGGUCUCAUUUGUCUGGGGUGAAAGCCUUGAGCUUAACUCAAGAAGUGCCCCAGAAACGGUGAGACUAGAGUCUUGGAGGGGGUCGCGGAAUUCCCGGUGUAGCGGUGAAAUGCGUAGAGAUCGGGAGGAACACCAGAGGCGAAAGCGGCGACCUGGACAAGUACUGACACUCAACUGCGAAAGCGUGGGGAGCAAACAGG